ACCUUAAAGCUAGCUUAUUCACCCACCUAAACUUAAUAUUAUAAAACACAAUUACAUUAAAGUAUUAUUAAAACAUUUUAAUAUCCUAAGUAUGGGCGACAGAAAAAGACAACAACGCAAUAGACUAAGUACCGCAAGGGAAAGCUGAAAAAGAAAUGAAAUAAAUCAUUAAAGUAUAAAAAAGCAGAGAUUUCAACUCGUACCUUUUGCAUCAUGAUUUAGCUAGAAAAACUAGGCAAAAAGGACUUUAAGUCUAUCCUCCCGAAACUAAACGAGCUACUCCGAAGCAGCACAAUUAGAGCCAACCCGUCUCUGUGGCAAAAGAGUGGGAAGACUUCCGAGUAGCGGUGAUAAACCUAUCGAGUUUAGUGAUAGCUGGUUACCCAAGAAAAGAACUUUAAUUCUGCAUUAAUCCUUUACCACUAAACAAGAACAUCUUACUAAAGCACAACAUAAGGGUUAAUAGUUAUUUAGAAGAGGUACAGCCCUUCUAAACUAAGAUACAACUUUCAAAGGUGGGUAAAGAUCAUAAUCAACAAGGUUUUCUCCUUCGUGGGCUUAAAAGCAGCCAUCUAAAAAGCAAGCGUCAUAGCUCCAGUAACACAAAAACCUAUAAUUUAGAUAUUUUACCAUAACCCCCUAAUUUAUAUUGGGUUAUUUUAUAUAAUUAUAAAAGAACUUAUGCUAAAAUGAGUAAUAAGAAGUUAAACUUCUCCCGACAUAAGUGUACAUCAGAAAGAAUUAAAUCACUGAUAAUUAAACGAACCCAAACUGAGGUAAUUAUAACAAUAAAUAAUUAACUAGAAAAUCCUAUCCAACUACUCGUUAACCUUACACAAGAAUGUCAUAAGGAAAGAUUAAAAGAAAGUAAAGGAACUCGGCAAACACAAACUCCGCCUGUUUACCAAAAACAUCGCCUCUUGCUCAAAUAUAAGAGGUCCAGCCUGCCCUGUGAUAAUAUUUUAACGGCCGCGGUAUCUUGACCGUGCGAAGGUAGCGUAAUCACUUGUCUUUUAAAUAAAGACCCGUAUGAAAGGCAUCACGAGAGUUUAACUGUCUCUACUUUCCAAUCAAUGAAAUUGAUCUACCCGUGCAGAAGCGGGUAUAAAAACAUUAGACGAGAAGACCCUAUGGAGCUUCAAACACUUAAAUUAAUUACAUUAACACAAAUAAUUCUAAGGACAUAAACAUAAAUAUAGUUCUCCUAAUUUAACAUGUUUUUGGUUGGGGUGACCAAGGGGAAAAAUAAAUCCCCCUGAUCGAUUGAGUAUUCACAUACUUAAAAAUUAGAAUGACAAUUCUAAACAAUAAAAUAUUUAUCGAAAAAUGACCCAGGAUUUACCUGAGCAAUGAACCAAGUUACCCUAGGGAUAACAGCGCAAUCCUUUCUCAGAGUUCUUAUCGACGAAAGGGUUUACGACCUCGAUGUUGGAUCAGGACAUCCUAAUGGUGCAACCGCUAUUAAGGGUUCGUUUGUUCAACGAUUAAUAGUCCUACGUGAUCUGAGUUCAGACCGGAGAAAUCCAGGUCAGUUUCUAUCUAUGAAAAAUUUUUCCUAGUACGAAAGGACCGGAAAAAUAGAGCCAAUACUACAAGUACGCUCUACUUUUAUCCAUUGAAAUAAACUCAAAUAGGUAAAAAGAAAUACCCUUAUCCCAAAAAAAGGGAA
rnacentral:rRNA from 1 species